UGCUAACGUCCGUCGUGGAGAGGGAAACAACCCAGACCGCCAGCUAAGGUCCCAAAUUACUACUAAGUGGGAAACGAUGUGGGAAGGCUCAGACAGCCAGGAUGUUGGCUUAGAAGCAGCCAUCAUUUAAAGAAAGCGUAAUAGCUCACUGGUCGAGUCGGCCUGCGCGGAAGAUGUAACGGGGCUAAGUAGUAAACCGAAGCUGCGGCAAUGUGCUUUUGCACAUUGGGUAGGGGAGCGUUCUGUAAGCGGUUGAAGGUGUGUGGUAACGCAUGCUGGACGUAUCAGAAGUGCGAAUGCUGACAUGAGUAACGAUAAAGGGGGUGAAAAACCUCCUCGCCGGAAGACCAAGGGUUCCUGUCCAACGUUAAUCGGGGCAGGGUAAGUCGACCCCUAAGGCGAGGCCGAAAGGCGUAGUCGAUGGGAAACGGGUUAAUAUUCCCGUACUUCUUACAAUUGCGAUGGGGGG
rnacentral:rRNA from 1 species